rnacentral:rRNA from 1 species
CCGGGGAGCAAGCGUGCGUUCGUGAACGCGCGUCGAGAGUACCCGGAGAAAAAGCAUCGGCUAACUCCGUGCCAGCAGCCGCGGUAAUACGGAGGAUGCGAGCGUUAUCCGGAUUUAUUGGGUUUAAAGGGUGCGUAGGCGGGAUGCCAAGUCAGCGGUAAAAAUGCGGUGCUCAACGCCGUCGAGCCGUUGAAACUGGCGUUCUUGAGUGGGCGAGAAGUAUGCGGAAUGCGUGGUGUAGCGGUGAAAUGCAUAGAUAUCACGCAGAACUCCGAUUGCGAAGGCAGCAUACCGGCGCCCUACUGACGCUGAGGCACGAAAGCGUGGGUAUCGAACAGGAUUAGAUACCCUGGUAGUCCACGCAGUAAACGAUGAAUGCUAACUGUCCGGCUCGAAUGAGCGCUGG